rnacentral:rRNA from 1 species
UUGACCUCAAAUCGAGUAGGACUACCCGCUGAACUUAAGCAUAUCAAUAAGCGGAGGAAAAGAAACUAACAAGGAUUCCCCUAGUAACGGCGAGUGAAGAGGGAAGAGCUCAAAUUUUGAAUCUGGCGUCUUUGGCGUCCGAAUUGUAAUCUAGAGAAGUGUUUUCCGUGACGGACCGUGCAUAAGUCUCCUGGAAUGGAGUGUCAUAGAGGGUGAGAAUCCCGUAUAUGGCACGGACUCCCGUUGCUCUGUGAUACACUCUCGACGAGUCGAGUUGUUUGGGAAUGCAGCUCCAAAUGGGUGGUAAAUGCCAUCUAAAGCUAAAUAUUGGCGAGAGACCGAUAGCGAACAAGUACCGUGAGGGAAAGAUGAAAAGCACUUUGGAAAGAGAGUGAAACAGUACGU